UGGAUUUGAUAUGGACAUAUUGCAAUUAGCGGAGAGCGCGGAUAGAAACGGUGAGCUUAUGGUUCCACCUUCAGCUAUAAAUGCGGCUUACAUUUCCUGCGUCCGCAACUCGAGUUAAGGUUAGCAUCAAUCAUGCUUCAUGGUUAUAUGUUCUGUGAUGCUACUCUAGAUGUGUUGAUGAUAAUUUAUCUAUUUUUGUUGGAUACUGAGUGGUUUGAGGCAGUACGCCCUGUCCUAAGAGAGAUGGCUCUUGCUGGUCUUGUUCACCUGGAUGCAAAGCAAGAAGCAAGUUACCCAACAUAUAUUUACUUUGUUGCUCAAAGUUGUAGGAAAGAGUGCUCCUGAAUUAUCUAAAGAAGCUGCUGGUGUUUGCUUAUGGUCAUUGAGUCAAAACACAGAUAUUUACAAAUAAUGAAAUACAUCAUCCCACGGCUUGCAAAUUGCUAUGCUAAUUCCUGGUUCUAUCAGAUAUCUAAGGAAAAACUUCCUGUGCAUAAAAGAUUUAAUGUUUGAACGCAGGGAUUACAUGGAGACUCAAAUGUUGCACACCCACCAUCCGAGCGGUCAUAUGUAGUGUACUUUUGAUUUAUUAAUGCAUGAUGUAACCUUUAGAUAGAAUUACACUGAUAGAAGUAGGUUGUUCAUUAUAUUUUCCUAGUGUAUCAACCUUGUAAUUUAGUGAAUGGUUGCAUAAAUUCACUGGAUAUGAAUAUGAAUAUAUGGAUGUAAUUGUAAUUUCACAAACAAGAAUGAUUAUAAAUUUGCAGUUUCAUAGUUCGAAUUUGA